rnacentral:tRNA from 1 species
AGGCGGAUCGUCCAACGGUAGGGCGCUGGCGCGCGUUAAACCAGACAGCAGUAUUCCGGUUCGACUCCGGAUCCGCCUA